rnacentral:misc_RNA from 1 species
UGAUAACAAACUCUUUGCUCACGCGAAGUUUUAAACCCACUGUGAACCAAAAAACCUUUAUAGCUUCGGUAGCCGUGGUGGUGGCUCUGCCCCUCAUGUCAGCCUACCGGUGGCACACAAACCAAACUCUUGUUUAAAUUUAGUCUGAAUCAAAAUUUUCGAAUGAAAAUCA